CCUACGGGAGGCAGCAGUGGGGAAUCUUGCACAAUGGAGGAAACUCUGAUGCAGCGAUGCCGCGUGAGUGAAGAAGGCCCUUGGGUUGUAAAGCUCUUUCGUCGGGGAAGAAAAUGACUGUACCCGAAUAAGAAGGUCCGGCUAACUUCGUGCCAGCAGCCGCGGUAAUACGAAGGGACCUAGCGUAGUUCGGAAUUACUGGGCUUAAAGAGUUCGUAGGUGGUUGAAAAAGUUGGUGGUGAAAUCCCAGAGCUUAACUCUGGAACUGCCAUCAAAACUUUUCAGCUAGAGUAUGAUAGAGGAAAGCAGAAUUUCUAGUGUAGAGGUGAAAUUCGUAGAUAUUAGAAAGAAUACCAAUUGCGAAGGCAGCUUUCUGGAUCAUUACUGACACUGAGGAACGAAAGCAUGGGUAGCGAAGAGGAUUAGAUACCCUCGUAGUCCAUGCCGUAAACGAUGUGUGUUAGACGUUGGAAAUUUAUUUUCAGUGUCGCAGCGAAAGCGAUAAACACACCGCCUGGGGAGUACGACCGCAAGGUUAAAACUCAAAUGAAUUGACGG
rnacentral:rRNA from 1 species